GGCACGCCCGAAGUCGUUACCCUAACCUUUCGGGGAGGGGGAUGCCGAAGGCAGGACUGGUGACUGGGGUGAAGUCGUAACAAGGUAGCCGUACCGGAAGGUGUGGCUGGAUCACCUCCUUUUCAGGGAGACCGAAUCCACUCAAAUAUCGAGGGACAAAAAGUUAGAGAUAUUGAGAUGGUCAUUCCCAGGUCGGUCGCAGACUAAAGUUGUCAGCUUUCAAACUAUAAACAGGUUUGGCAUAGGGGCUAUUAGCUCAGGUGGUUAG
rnacentral:misc_RNA from 1 species